rnacentral:rRNA from 1 species
AUUGAACGCUGGCGGCAGGCCUAACACAUGCAAGUCGAGCGAGCGGCGGACGGGUGAGUAAUGUCUGGGAAACUGCCUGAUGGAGGGGGAUAACUACUGGAAACGGUAGCUAAUACCGCAUACCAUCAGAUGUGCCGAGAUGGUAUUAGCUAGUAGGUGGGGUAACGGCUCACCUAGGUGACGAUCCCUAGCUGUUCUGAGAGGAGGACCAGCCACACGGGAACUGAGACACGGUCCAGAAGCCAACGGGAGGCAGCAGUGGGGAAUAUUGCGCAAGGAGCGGAAGCCUGAUGCAGCGACGCCGCGUGGGGGAUGACGGCCUUCGGGUUGUAAACGCCUUUCACCAUCGACGCGGUAGAUGGAGAAGAAGCACCGGCUAACUACGUGCCAGCAGCCGCGGUAAUUC